AUUCCGCAAUGUUGACACUUUUUUACUAUCUCCUUAAACCUCUCCCAUGCUUCAAAAAUAGUUUCAGUCUCUUUCUAUUAGAAGUUAUGGAUUUCUCUUCUAAACU
rfam:Nicotiana sylvestris Nsyl_contig21783, whole genome shotgun sequence.